CACCCCUCCUCUCUCUCUCUCACUCUCUCUCUCUCUCUCUCUCUCUCUCUCUCUCCGGGUGUCAACUGUCAUCAAGGUUGUGGCAGUGCUGUCUUGGCCAAUACCUCACUCGGCAGUCUCCUUCACACCAGCCUCCAAAACGGAUUCUCCCAUCCUAUAGAAACGGUUGGCAUUGGAGACCCUCGCCACAGUGUGUGUCUUGUUCCCUCCGCGCACCGCCUCUAAAUGGACGGAUCCCUGCAGGCUGAUGGAAGCGCUACAUGUGCCGUGUACUCGCCCAAUGUGCAGCCGCCAGGAAGAUGGAUGGUUAGCCGCAGAUUGCCCAACUCACCGAUUUCUACCUACUGUUACGCUGUUACUCUCUUCACGAUGAGACUGAACGGAGUGGUGGUCUGUGAUUCCCGGUCGGGCCCUUCACUCCUUCUCCUCUCCAAGACCUGCGUAUGACUGAGUUGUGACAAAGACCAGUUAGCUACUGCUUGUGCUCGCUCUGUGGUCAUAACCUUUGCAUGGGCACCCUCUCACGUGGGACUGGCUGCUAGUGACACAGUGAACCGUCUCGUUAAGGACUGAAUGUGGCCCUGGACUUGCCGCGGGUGCCAGCCGUUCUCUCCAUCCAGUGUUAUAAGAAAAUGAUAUACUCAGCUGUUCAUGUCUCAACAGUGCAACGCGGAGAUGCCGAACGUGUGAACAGUGUAUCAAUACAACACUAUGGACAGUUCCUUAACUUGUGCCCACACGCACCGCUGUCACGGGCUGGUGGUUCGUGGACACAAUGUGGUGAGCUAGACUUAGAUUAUGGUACUGGCCAGUGUGGCAGGUGUCACAGGCAGAGGCUCAUUACUCCACCUGUAAAUCGUGUGACCGUGCUGGCGCCGACACAUUAAAACAUUAUUGUGUGGAGUGCCCCGCUAUGGGAGACUUGCUGCCUCAGGGACGCCACCUAAUGCAUGUGUGUGUAGACACUUACUGGAAAGUGACAAUUUGGACACUUUUCUUAUCAUAUCCACAUUUCGGUAACCUAAUAAGCAGCGCCGGGAAGUGCGCCUCACCUGCCUGUAUAGGUGAAGGCGGCGCUAAUUAACUGGCAGUGCAGGCAGCGGCAGCAGGCGGCAAGAGUCUGAACGAAUAACACGAAGGCUCCACUCAACAUCUUUUUAAUGAGUUAGUUCUUGAAAGUUUCAUGGUUUUGUUUUCUUCUUUUUUUCUUGUUUUGUUAUUUUUUUAAGAUUUGGAACAAGAUUACAUUCAAUAAGGACCUUUGAAGAAAUUUGAUUUAAUAGGGAGCUUUGACACGAAAUUAUACUAACUUACGGAUAGGAAUGACAGAUAUUGUUUUAUACAGGGAUUGCCGCUGGUAAGUCUGAUGGCUUCCAGUGUAGAAAGACAGAAAGAUGAGGCCAAGCACUGGAGAUAGGAGUGCAAAUACGUACAGCAAUUUAAUUCUGAAGGGGACUUGUGUCUAUACUUAUAUAUACGUUGUUAAUUGCAUUUUACAUUCUCAUACGUCGUGCGGAAAAGAACGUUAUGAGAAACAGAAAUGCAGUGAGAGCUUUCUAUAUUUCCUCACGCUUUUUUUUUUUUUUUUUGUCCUUUUACACUCACAUACUGGAGAAGAAAGUCAUGUAGAACUGAGAUGCAGUGGAAGUUUCUUAUAUUUCCUUACGUUUCUUAUAUCCUUUAUUGUAAUCUACGUUUGCUAUUUACAUUAUACGCUCACACACUGGAGGAGAGAGCUACGGAAAUAUUGAAAUGCAGUAGAACCUUCCCAUAUUCUUUUUUUUUUUUUAUGGGACAAAGUUAUGAAAAAAAAUAAUUACAGUGAAUGUUUCCUACGUUU